UUCAAGUGCUCAUGACCAGUAUCUCCAUC
rnacentral:piRNA from 1 species